rnacentral:rRNA from 1 species
GGGCGUUAAGUUGCAGGGUAUAGACCCGAAACCCGGUGAUCUAGCCAUGGGCAGGUUGAAGGUUGGGUAACACUAACUGGAGGACCGAACCGACUAAUGUUGAAAAAUUAGCGGAUGACCUGUGGCUGGGGGUGAAAGGCCAAUCAAACCGGGAGAUAGCUGGUUCUCCCCGAAAGCUAUUUAGGUAGCGCCUCGUGAAUUCAUCUCCGGGGGUAGAGCACUGUUUCGGCUAGGGGGCCAUCCCGGCUUACCAACCCGAUGCAAACUGCGAAUACCGGAGAAUGUUAUCACGGGAGACACACGGCGGGUGCUAACGUCCGUCGUGAAGAGGGAAACAACCCAGACCGCCAGCUAAGGUCCCAAAGUCAUGGUUAAGUGGGAAACGAUGUGGGAAGGCCCAGACAGCCAGGAUGUUGGCUUAGAAGCAGCCAUCAUUUAAAGAAAGCGUAAUAGCUCACUGGUCGAGUCGGCCUGCGCGGAAGAUGUAACGGGGCUAAACCAUGCACCGAAGCUGCGGCAGCGACACUGUGUGUUGUUGGGUAGGGGAGCGUUCUGUAAGCCUGUGAAGGUGUGUCGUGAGGGUUGCUGGAGGUAUCAGAAGUGCGAAUGCUGACAUAAGUAACGAUAAAGCGGGUGAAAAGCCCGCUCGCCGGAAGACCAAGGGUUCCUGUCCAACGUUAAUCGGGGCAGGGUGAGUCGACCCCUAAGGCGAGGCCGAAAGGCGUAGUCGAUGGGAAACGGGUUAAUAUUCCCGUACUUGGUGUUACUGCGAAGGGGGGACGGAGAAGGCUAUGUUGGCCGGGCGACGGUUGUCCCGGUUUAAGCGUGUAGGUGUGUGUUCCAGGUAAAUCCGGUUCACUUUAACACUGAGGCGUGACGACGAGGCACUACGGUGCUGAAGCAACAAAUGCCCUGCUUCCAGGAAAAGCCUCUAAGCAUCAGGUAACAUCAAAUCGUACCCCAAACCGACACAGGUGGUCAGGUAGAGAAUACCAAGGCGCUUGAGAGAACUCGGGUGAAGGAACUAGGCAAAAUGGUGCCGUAACUUCGGGAGAAGGCACGCUGACACGUAGGUGAAGUGAUUUACUCAUGGAGCUGAAGUCAGUCGAAGAUACCAGCUGGCUGCAACUGUUUAUUAAAAACACAGCACUGUGCAAACACGAAAGUGGACGUAUACGGUGUGACGCCUGCCCGGUGCCGGAAGGUUAAUUGAUGGGGUCAGCGCAAGCGAAGCUCCUGAUCGAAGCCCCGGUAAACGGCGGCCGUAACUAUAACGGUCCUAAGGUAGCGAAAUUCCUUGUCGGGUAAGUUCCGACCUGCACGAAUGGCGUAAUGAUGGCCAGGCUGUCUCCACCCGAGACUCAGUGAAAUUGAACUCGCUGUGAAGAUGCAGUGUACCCGCGGCAAGACGGAAAGACCCCGUGAACCUUUACUAUAGCUUGACACUGAACAUUGAGCCUUGAUGUGUAGGAUAGGUGGGAGGCUUUGAAGUGUGGACGCCAGUCUGCAUGGAGCCGACCUUGAAAUACCACCCUUUAAUGUUUGAUGUUCUAACGUGGACCCGUUACCCGGGUUGCGGACAGUGUCUGGUGGGUAGUUUGACUGGGGCGGUCUCCUCCUAAAGAGUAACGGAGGAGCACGAAGGUUGGCUAAUCCUGGUCGGACAUCAGGAGGUUAGUGCAAUGGCAUAAGCCAGCUUGACUGCGAGCGUGACGGCGCGAGCAGGUGCGAAAGCAGGUCAUAGUGAUCCGGUGGUUCUGAAUGGAAGGGCCAUCGCUCAACGGAUAAAAGGUACUCCGGGGAUAACAGGCUGAUACCGCCCAAGAGUUCAUAUCGACGGCGGUGUUUGGCACCUCGAUGUCGGCUCAUCACAUCCUGGGGCUGAAGUAGGUCCCAAGGGUAUGGCUGUUCGCCAUUUAAAGUGGUACGCGAGCUGGGUUUAGAACGUCGUGAGACAGUUCGGUCCCUAUCUGCCGUGGGCGCUGGAGAACUGAGGGGGGCUGCUCCUAGUACGAGAGGACCGGAGUGGACGCAUCACUGGUGUUCGGGUUGUCAUGCCAAUGGCACUGCCCGGUAGCUAAAUGCGGAAGAGAUAAGUGCUGAAAGCAUCUAAGCACGAAACUUGCCCCGAGAUGAGUUCUCCCUGAGACUUAGAGUCUCCUGAAGGAACGUUGAAGACGACGACGUUGAUAGGCCGGGUGUGUAAGCGCAGCGAUGCGUUGAGCUAACCGGUACUAAUGAACCGUGAGGCUUAACCUU